ensembl:misc_RNA Metazoa_SRP Metazoan signal recognition particle RNA
GCCAGGUGUGGUGGCGCAUGCCUGUAAUCCUGGCUACUUGGGAGGCUGAGGCAGGAGAAUCACUUGAACCUGGGAGGUGGUGGUUGCAGUGAGCUGAGAUCGUGCCACUGCACUCCAGCCUGGGUGACAGAGUGAGACUCUGUCUCAA